AGGAGAGGCCGGCGGAGGAGCGGGCGCUGACGAGACUCUGAUCACCGGGACCUUUGACGAUGUGGCUUUGUAUUUUUCGGAGCAAGAGUGGGAGAUCCUGCAGAAAUGGCAAAAGGAAUUGUAUCAGCAAGUGAUGCAAGCCAGUUAUGAGACCCUUGACUCCAUAGGCUGUGCUUGGUCCAAGGCAGAUUUAACCACCUGGCUGGAACACGGGAGAAUGCUAUUAACCCGAGACCAGGGAAGCUUAGACUCUGCAAGGAAGACAACUGGCCCUUGCACUGAUGAGUCGUUGGACUUGA